AUUGCAGGCUGCAACCCGCCCUGCAUGAAGUCGGAAUUGCUAGUAAUCGCGGAUCAGCAUGCCGCGGUGAAUACGUUCCCGGGCCUUGUACACACCGCCCGUCACACCAUGGGAGCCGGUAAUACCCGAAGUCAGUAGUCCAACCUCGUGAGGACGCUGCCGAAGGUAGGAUUGGCGACUGGGGUGAAGUCGUAACAAGGUACC
rnacentral:rRNA from 1 species